rnacentral:rRNA from 1 species
UGAACGCUGGCGGCGUGCUUAACACAUGCAAGUCGAACGGUGCUUAAUGAAACCUAGUGAUUAAGCACAGUGGCGGACGGGUGAGUAACGCGUGGGUAACCUGCCGCAUGCAGGGGGACAACAGAGGGAAACUUCUGCUAAUACCGCAUAAGCGCACGGGAUCGCAUGAUCCAGUGUGAAAAGAUUUGUCGGCAUGCGGAUGGACCCGCGUCUGAUUUAGGCAGUCGGUGAGGUAACGGCCCACCAAACCUUACGAUCAGUAGCCGGCCUGAGAGGGUGAACGGCCACAUUGGGACUGAGACACGGCCCAAACUCCUACGGGAGGCAGCAGUGGGGAAUAUUGCACAAUGGGGGGAAACCCUGAUGCAGCGAACGCCGCGUGAGUGAAGAAGCAUUUCGGUGCGUUAAAGCUCUGUCAGCAGGAAAGAAAAUGACGGUACCUGACCAAGAAGCCCCGGCUAACUACGUGCCAGCAGCUGC